CCUGUUAGACACGGGAAAAGAAGAUGAGUCCUAUUCUCCCUAUUCUUUUGUGGGCAAUUGUGAGCUCCAUCAUUCUUGGAGCUAGCACAGUCGAGGAUGUUAUUCAAGCACCAGCAUCAACAUCUGUACAGGAGGGGGAAGCUGUGACUGUGAAUUGCAAGUAUGAAACUUCUAGGGCCCAGAUAGUUUUGUUCUGGUACAAGCAGUCUCUAAGUGGGGAGAUGGUUCCCCUUAUUCGCCAGGAUUCUUACAAUCAAGAGAAUGCGAGGGUGGAUAGAUAUUCGGUGAUCUUGGAGAAAACAGAGAAAUCCAUCAAUCUCACCAUCUCCGACUCACAGCUGGAGAACUCAGCAACGUAUUUCUGUGUCCUCAGUGAUCUCACAGUGAGAGAUGUGACAGGGGCAGCUGUACAGAAACAUCAUCGUUGGGCAUGAGGCUCUCACCUGGGGCCAGGACCCCGGGGGAAACGUGUAGCUGAGACUGUGAUGGAGCACCUGGAAGCCGCCAAAGUAAACUGAUUUCAUUCCUCCUUUUCUGGCCUCAGAGACCCAAA